GACCAAGGUCAGUAGAAGAUGGAGAAGACAGAGGUUCUUGAGAAGGAACGCACUUGUCAAUGAGGAAUUGAGGGGCUUAUUGCCGCUGUCCAAAGGUCUGAACAAGUCCUCAACAAGUAAGACGACUGGACAGUGGCUCCCAACCGCUGUUUACCGGGUGAUUGGAUGCGUCGCCGAUCAAAGACAUCAGAUUCAUGUUGGACAUCGCCUGCGCCCAUGCCAAGAUUGUCUCGCUUGUUGAAGUUUGUCUUGUAGUUUAUUUGCAGGGUUGACAUUUGAUAUGAAAUGUAAUCUUUGCCUUAGAUAGUAAUAUUCUGCAUAAAAUGUGUAUAAAAAAUUGUUGUACGCAGCAAAAAUUUUUAACGAAACUUCUGAUCAGAGAAAAAGAAAGAAAUGAAUGGCGUCGACCCUGCAUGUCGCUGGUUAUAUGUUAUAGAUUUGUUUCUAAAUCGUAGUACAGUAUUUUAUCCGCUCAUAUCGUUUCAAGGUAUUUUAUUUAUUAUGUAUAUUUAUUAUUGUGUCGGAAGGAAGUACCCAUCAAUUCUCAAACAAAAAUACGGCACUAUUUGGAGUUCACCUUUAACAAAAUAAUUUUAAUUCAAAAAGUAUUUUGCUGAA